GAGACUUGUGGGUUGAAAAAGAUCAAAUCGAGCUUUUACUCCAUUGAUCGAUCUGCAUUGUUGUUGUCGGAUCUCCAUUAAAUAUAGUCCGAUCGCCGAAGAUGGAUUCUCAGAUCAUUGUUGUUGCCGGAUCUCAAAAACUUUGAUGAAGAAGAAGAAAGCGAACCCUAGCUCUCUCUCUCUCUCUUUUUCAUUGGAUUUUUUUGAGGUGUGAAGAAUGGACUGACUAACGGUGACCGAGUUCUAGAAAAAAUAGGCAUUAAUAGUG
rnacentral:lncRNA from 1 species